CACGUGUCUUUGGACUGGGACUUGUUCUUCUGGAGCACUCGCCAUAUUCGUUUUGGUGUUUUUCCGCCUCUGCAUUUGUCAUUUAGGCAGCCAAUCAGCAUCAUGCCUACUCGUAUCACUGCAUGGAUGAUGAAGUUAGAAACUGAGAGGCUGCAUAUCAUCUAACAAGGAGAUUAACAGCUAAAAAUACUAUUGUAUGGGAGUUAUAACGAUUAACUAAUCUUGUGAAAAUUUCUCCAAAAAGUUAGCGCUACAACCUUUUAAAAGUUAAGAUUCUUCUGGAGCACUCGCCAUAUUCGUUUUGGUGUUUUUCCGCCUCUGUGUUGUUUUUUUUAGGCAGCCAAUCAGCAUCAUGCCUACUCAUAUCACUGCAUGAGGUUAGAAACCGAGAGGCUGCAGAUCAUCCAACAAGGAGAUUAACAGCUAAAAAUACAAUUGUAUGGGAGUUAUAACGAUUAACUA